UGCUGUCUGGUGUAGGUGGAACAUCUCUGUCUCUGGUGCGGAGGAAGGGGGUUCGAGUCCCUCGGCAGUUG